rnacentral:rRNA from 1 species
CCCUAGCCCUUCAGAGGGGGACAACAGUUGGAAACGACUGCUAAUACCGCAUACGAUCCAAUCUCGGCAUCGAGACUGGGUGAAAGGUGGCCUCUAUUUAUAAGCUAUCACUGAAGGAGGGGAUUGCGUCUGAUUAGCUAGUUGGAGGGGUAACGGCCCACCAAGGCGAUGAUCAGUAGCCGGUCUGAGAGGAUGAACGGCCACAUUGGGACUGAGACACGGCCCAG